rnacentral:lncRNA from 1 species
GGAAGUGGCUCAGUCACCUGAGUGCUGUGCUGCCUUCAGUGGCAGCGGGUGCCUCCACGCACCUAGGUGCCACUGGAGCACUCUGGGCCUCAGGAGUUCCUACCUCCAGCCUUUGAGGGUCUCUUUGGAUUGCUUGGUGGGAGGGUUUUGCCACACUGGAUCAGAUAUAAGUGCAGCCUUGGUUCAGACAGGGUGGGGUUCUGCCACCUGCUGUGUUGGGUCAGAUUGCCUUGGACCUUUGCUGAAGCUGGUCCAAAGGAGGUGGGCAGAGGAGCGGAUAUUGGACCCUUGUAAAGCAGUGUGAUGUUCACUCAGAUGAUGGCAGCUCUCCAGAGCGAGUGCCCUGGGGCAGCCUCCGUCCUAGCAUCAGCCACACCAUGCCCAGCAGAGCGGGCCCCAUCUCCUCAGGGGGAGCGGCGCCUGUGUGCCCAUGGCCUGGAAUUAGCCUGGGGCAGCUGGCAGGGUGGGGGUGCUUCCUGCUUCCCAAAGGUAAAGCACUGAGAGUUUGGGGCCUGGGCCUCCUGUGCUGCUCCUAACCACUCAGCUGACUCCCCUGGCCCUGAUGUGUGGCUUGAUUUUUAAACACUAAACAGCUUGUGGUGCCUAACCUGUCAGUUGCUGGUAACUUUGUAGGCCGUUUACGAAUGGACAGAGCGGGUGCCCGGGUAAGUGCAAGGAAGGCGCCCCCAGGCUGUGUCCUCAGGGCCGCUGUGCUCCUUCACAGAUGGCCACUCCUGAUGCUGGGUGGAGUUUUUGCCCCCACUCCUUGCCUUACAGGCCGUCUCUUUCCUUUUAAUUAACUUCCAGACCAGGUGUUGUAGACCCAAAUUUAGACUUAAUUUCAAUACUACUAGUACAUGCCCUUAGGGUGACAGGGCAGACUUCUCGUCACAUAAUGAAAGCGGGACGUCGCUCCUUUAGUCGUCCUCAGCUUGUGCUGCAGUCUGUCUUUCCGGCGGGAGGACCCAGGCCUGGGACGGAGUCUGGUGUUGUCAGCACACUGCCCACCAGAAGGAGCUAAAAACUACCCCGAGACUGAGUCUGUAUUUUAUGAUAUUAGCUCCAUCCAGCCGUACAGUAGAGUAGACCAUAUUUUAAGUUUCUUGUCUUGGUAAAAAUCUAUAGAGUAAAAUAAAAUGGCAGUUUCGUGUGUGGGGCUCCCCCAUCUCAAGCUGCCCUUUGAGAUCUGGGCAGGAACCCUUAAUCCCAUCUCUCACCUCACCCACUAGACCUUGUGCCGGAGCCGACUACUGGAGAUGACAGUGAUGCUGCCACCUUUAAGCCAACUCUCCCUGAUCUGUCCCCUGAU